UCUUAUGGAUGAGCAAAGAAAGUGAUUUCUUGAGAUGGAAUCUACACCUGCUGAAGAUGUUGUGAA
rnacentral:pre_miRNA from 1 species